GGAUUGACACAUCGGUCGUGCCCUAAGGGGUAUGAACUGGUGUAGUCAAUUUCUCACCUUCUGGAGAACCGCGAUGCCCUUAAUUGGGUGUCACGGGGAACCAGGACCUUUACUUUGAAAAAAUUAGAGUGUUUAAAGCAGGCUCACGCUUGAAUACAUUAGCAUGGAAUAACGAAAUAG
rnacentral:rRNA from 1 species